UUCUUAAAGCAUACCACCCUGAACACGCCCAAUCUCGUCUGUUCUUGGAAGCUAAGCAGGGUUUGGCCUGGUUAUUACUUGGAUUUCAUAAAU
rnacentral:rRNA from 1 species